AAAGUCUCCUUCGGGGGACGAGUAGAGUGGCGCACGGGUGAGUAACACGUAGGUAAUCUACCUUUGGAUUGGGAAUAACCACCGGAAACGGUGGCUAAUACCGAAUAAUGCAGCGGCACCUAAUGGUGACAGUUGUUAAAGCGGGGGAUCGCAAGACCUCGCGUCUGAAGAGGAGCCUGCGGCGGAUUAGCUAGUUGGUAAGGUAACGGCUUACCAAGGCGACGAUCCGUAGCCGGCCUGAGAGGGCGGUCGGCCACACUGACACUGACAUACAGGUCAGACUCCUACGGGAGGCAGCAGUCGGGAAUUUUGGGCAAUGGGCGAAAGCCUGACCCAGCAACGCCGCGUGAAGGAUGAAAUCCCUCGGGAUGUAAACUUCGCAAGAACGGGAAGAAUAAGCUUUAGUUAAUAUCUGAAGCGAUGACGGUACCGUUUGUAAGCUCCGGCUAACUCCGUGCCAGCAGCCGCGGUAAUACGGGGGGAGCAAGCGUUGUUCGGAUUUACUGGGCGUAAAGGGCGCGUAGGCGGUCAGCACAAGUCAGUUGUGAAAUCUCCGGGCUUAACUCGGAAAGGUCAACUGAUACUGUGCGACUAGAGUGCGGAAGGGGCAACUGGAAUUCUUGGUGUAGCGGUGAAAUGCGUAGAUAUCAAGAGGAACACCUGCGGCGAAGGCGGGUUGCUGGGCCGACACUGACGCUGAUGCGCGAAAGCCAGGGGAGCGAACGGGAUUAGAUACCCCGGUAGUCCUGGCCUUAGACGAUGAAUGCUUGGUGUCUGGGGUUAUAAAGUCCCCGGGUGCCGU
rnacentral:rRNA from 1 species